GCUUACUUGGUGAAAAUGGUAAACACGACAGACUUAAAAUCUGUUCCUAUAGGUUAUCGGUUCAAGUCCGAUAGUGAGCA
rnacentral:tRNA from 1 species